rnacentral:misc_RNA from 1 species
GUACUUAACUUCUAUUAUAUAAUUACUUGUACGGGAUUAUAUACAUAAAACGUUUUGUUGUACGACCAAAGCGAAUCAAAAUGUCGCAUUGGAAAUUUACAUCUAUUGGUGUAUGUUAUUUUUCAUGUUAAUAUUAAAAUGGAUACACCAGACCUGCAAAAGUUAGAAGAAGGCAUUGUAACAGAAAACUCAGUAGUUGAUGACUUAGUUUCAGACAAUGUAUUAAACCUACAAGAUACUUUUAUAAGAAACAGCUUUUUAGCGAUAUCUGAAACAAAGUUGCUUAAUAACCAAUACUUGCAUGAUAAGAUAGCUAUUAAUAUCAAAAGGAAAAAACCUUCAAAAUAUCAAGAAGUUUUUGAGUCUACUGAAAAUAAAAAUCAAGAUAAGAAUGAGAUUUUGGAAUUGAGCACAUCGACGAACUUAGUUCCUCUUGUGUCAACAAUUAUAUCAGAAAACAACAAUGAUAAAGAUGAAAAUAAGCCUUUUAAUUUAUGUACUUUAACAGAUACUUUGCAAACUUCUGUUAGAGAAGAGACAGUUGAUUUUGAAGAUUCAAUUGUAUGCCAAUUUGAUGUUUCCAAAGAAUCUGCAGGCAAUUUAUUAAAUGAACAAAUUAACUUGUUAGACGACAACUUUUCAGCAAUUCCAAAAACAAUUACACUUAGUAACAAAUAUUUGCAUGACAAGAUAGCUUCCAACAUCAAAAGAAGGAGGCCUUUACAGGGAAUUCAAGGAAAGUUAGCAUCUAGUGAAAAUGAAAGUCACUAUGAGGCUGACUUUUCUUUACCAACAAUGGUAUUAGCUCCUGUUAUAUCAAUAAAUAUUUCAGAUAGUAACUUAUCAGAAGUUAAGGAGUCUUUAACAAAUACUUCAAUAAAAACCAACUUGGAAUCCUCAAUUUUUAGUCUGCCUAAUACAGAAGUAGAUACAUCAUUUGUAAAUUUUAGUUCUGAAAAGUUUGAUUUCGAACAGAUAAAUGUUGAAGAACACCAUCUUGGUAGUCAAAUUAACUCACAUGAAAAUUUAUCAAAUGCACAUGACAAAUUGUCAAAAAGUAAUAGUUUUAUUACAGAAAGAUCAUUGCCUACAAGAGAUUUGGAAAAAAAUCUGAAUGACAAGGAUGCCGAUGUUUUGGGUCUAUCUAUGCAUGCUAUUUCAAUGCCAAAUCUUCGUGAAUCUCUUGAAAUUCAUGACAACGUUAAGUCACCAAAACAUGGUUUCUUUAAAGUUUUCAAAAAGAACAAGAAAGCUCAAAAAUUAUCUAUGUCAACAGAUCAGUUAUCAACAGAUCCUUUACAAAAUAGUAAUGUAAGAUUGUCAUCUGUGGACAUUGAUAUAAAUGGAUCACCAAAGAUUAACGAAAUAGAAAAUGAUGUUUUUUUUGGUGGGGAUUACUCCCCAGAAUGAUAAAGACCACGAGUCCUUAGCAACAUAUACAGCCAAAGAUGGGGAAAGUAGCAAUACACUGGAAACAUCUGGAAAAACUCCUCUGAUUCUUGCAACUUUGUGUUCAUCUUUCUCCAUUGAGUAUAGAGCUUUUGCCAUAUCUUCCAUGUCCUUGUAAUGGCCAUUGUCAGAAGCAACUAACAACAUUACAAAAUGGAUCCAUGUAUCCGUUAAUAAUGAAGUGGCUGUUUACUGGGAUGUUCAACAGGUGGGAUUGUUUUUGACUGAGAUUGGUCUAUCACAAUAUGUUAGCAAUUUUCAAAGUCACAAUGUUAAUGGUCGUGUUUUUCUUUCUACUAAAGAAAGUUAU